CAUUAUUUUGGUUUGAAAUAGGCGGAUAUGGAUCCAACUCCACUUCACUGUGCUGCUAAGUUGUUGAUCAGUUCUCAAGCUGAAGAUGGUAGCUAUCCGCAGCAGGAAAUUACCGGAGUUUUCAAGAAUAACUGCAUGUUACACUACCCUAUCCAUAAGAAUAUUUUCCCCUUAUGGGCUCUGGCAGAAUACCGAAAAAAAUUUCCAUUUCCUUCCAAGAAGCUUUGAAUUAACCUAUGGAUUUUGUACAACAAGAUAUAUAUAGUUGUUUGUGCAGGGUAGCAGGAAAAUUGUGAGUGUUGAAACUGCAGACCCCAUAUGCAUAUAUGGGGCAGGGGGCAGGCUUAUUUUAAGUCAAUAAAUAUAUGCUCACAGAAGCUUGUAUAAAGUUGAACCAAAAACUAAGUUUCUCAUAAUCCCAUGUAUUUAUUAUAUUAAUCAAAAAAAUUCAGUCUUCUAAAUUAGAAUGGAUGAUCUUCUAUAUGUAACUACUCAAUAUUUUGAUGCGACUGACAAUCAUUUCUAGGCAUGAAUAGCCUACAUUUCCAGCUAGUUUCAUCUGUCAA